AAUAAGUUAACAUGUAGACAUUUAGUGGACGUGCAUACGCAUCACUAAAAUGACUAAUUGUACACACCUACCCUAUUUAACUUUCUAAGAUUCUGACGCAAAAAACAGGAAAAGGAAUUUCAUUGACGAGAAACAAUGUGGUCAAUCCGAAAAGAUCUGGAGUCAAUUUUGUUGAAUGAAAUCAAAGAGGAACUGGAGUUUUAAGAAACAGCACAGCUGUGAACCAGGAGUUCCUCAGGGGUCAAUUCACUUUAUCCUGUCAGAGUCACAUUCUAGGAAGAUUAAUGUGCUGGCGUGUAAACAGAAGUGAUUCCUCGUUUUGAUGUCGCCACAUUCAAUUUCAUGGUCAAAACUUCUUUGCUCUUCCGCGUGGAAGACUUGUGGUGAGCAGUAAAUUAUAAUCACCUUUUCAAACACAUGCUGAGCUAAAACCACUAAAAGCAUCCGGGAUCCAGAUGCAGGCUGGCUGCCAUUGACGCCAGACAGAAAAUUAGUUUAGUGAGUAGAGCUGGGGAUGCGGCAGGCUGCGGACAAGCGGCGGAGACACCGGGAAAGAGAUAGAGAUAAUGGCAGUGAUUGAUGAUCUGGCCUGCUGAUAUGAAAUGCUCUUCCUUGUCUCAUUCAAUUAUUCACCCUGAAUAAAAACAGUCUGCGUGCCUAUGCACUCCCUGAAGAAGAUGAUGACUUCAUCAACAGCACUCUGCUGAUGUGUAUCCAGGACUGCUUGAAAAUGUUGUGAGAUGCGCUGCUUAUCCUCCGCAUCAAAGCACUCAAUUUAAAGGACAAAGAACUCUAAUGAAUAUCUGAUAGAAGCAGAGCUCAUCUGCCAGCCACUGUUGUUUUGACUUCUUUGUUACUCCCAUACUUGAAAUUUAACCAAAUAGAUGUAUUCUGACCUUUCUCCAGAGUCUUUUUUCUUUGCGUGCUCUUACAGAAGAGAGCAGAGGAUGAGUCAAGACAGAAAAGAACAGAACAAAAAAGACAAAUUGACAUUUAGACUCAACAAUUGUUUUGUGUAAUGGAGAGGAAUUUCAGGAUGGGUUGGGGAGUUCAUGGAAAUGUUAUGUUAAAUUUUAAUCACUUUUGUGUGCCUAUUCAUCAACAUCAGCAACUCCCAGUCCAAACAUCGUAACUGAAGCACAAUCUGGACAGCUUUUUAUUUCCAAUAAACUUUAAUAUAUCAACUUAAGCUCUGUGAGGUUUUGGGGGAUUAAACUCUCCUAGAUCGACGUAUACAUACAUUUGUCAGUACCAGAAGGAAGUAUUUCUGUUGAGGUCAAUGCUGGCUGGAUCAAAUGAGGAAAAUUGAAAAUACUUUAAGUAUUUAGUCACAACUGCUCUGAUCUGUCUAUUUUCUUACCAGAUAAGCAAAAAAUGAGCGGAUUGUUUUGCUAGCUGAGAGGGAGAAUGGCUGGAUAUACUCUCACUUGGGAGGAAUGUUGACAGGCCUCGGCACAAUGCUUGACAGCGGGUCACUGACCUAAUUGGGUUUGUUUAGGGUGAGUCUAUUGUUAAACACUGAGCACAGUUUUCUGGAUUGUUUGGCAGCUAUAUUUCGUUUGAUAAACCACACAGGGAAUAACAUAACCUUGGUUAUGGCCGGGAGUGAGAAAGUACAACAGGGAGCGCCGUAAAUCUCUGGGGUUAUCUAACAGUUCCGACAGCACCGAUGAAAAGCGAGGGGAAAUCAUUCAUCACUGACUCUCUCAACAAUGGUAUAGAGACUCAUUUACGCCUGACCAUCUCCUCUCCUCUCAGCAGCUCAGUGUGGCCUGAUCACAGUCCAUCAUAACUACUGUGAGGCCCUGAGGCGCUGGAGACAGCAGCAGAUUUUAACUGGUGAUACGCACUCCAUCAAAGGGACGCCGCAACACCCUGAUGUGCUCUGGCGGGCCUCUUGCUGCCUGCCAGGCAGAUCUAACGCGCCCCCACACACUACCUCCUGACACCAAAGGCUGUUUCUGCUAUCUGUUCCACACCAGAGUACAGUAGGUACCUACUAAUGUUUGAUGGACAUGGUCAUACUUCACCUUGAAGGACCACAACUGCAGUUUUUCAUGUUUUAGUCCAUUAACUACAGCACAAAUAGUCUACACUUUACAUUACUGCCAAGUGUACCGUAAGUUCUUAGAUUGAUUUCCUGCCUUCCAGGCAGCAACCUGUUUCAGCUCAUUUCAAUCCAUUUGAAAAUAAACUUGCAGAGAAUUAAAACUGGCUGGAGAUGCAGUAUGUAAUCCAUCAGAGUCACUUAGUUACAUUUAGUUAUUAUAAGAACACAGGUGCAUGCAGGGACUUUUCCAUGUUUUUAUUCUUUUCGGAUGCUGUGAUUUACGAGUCAGCUGGUGAAAAGAUGAACAAGAAAGAACCGCUAAAUGUUUACUCUGAUAGAUUACCUUUCAAGAUGAUUCAAGCUGACUAGUGAAGUUGAUUUUCAUACAUUAUCUAACUAGGCUAAGAGUCUACAGACCGAGGAGCAGCUCUGUGAGGCUGCAGACAGAGGUGCUUUAAGCUACAUGUUAACAUCAACAAGCUAACAUGGUGAUGUUUAGCAGGUAUAAUGUUCAACAUCUUCACCAUUUAUUGAUUUUUCCUCAGAUUUUAAUUAUGUACAGCCUUUUUUUUUUUUUUUAGCCGAUAGGUUAAAGAGCAUCCACAAGAUUGAUCCCUGCCUGAUAUGAUGACUGAUGGACUGAACAGAAAGGUCACCAUGUGUGAAGGUCAAUGGAGGGUUUUUUCCUCCACUGGACCGCUCCAGGGUUGUGUCCUCUCACCUCUUUUAUUUGUCUUGUACGCUAAUGAGUGCCCGAGCCAACACGUGAGACAACAUAUUAUUACGUUUGCCAACGAUUCUGUCAUUGUGUCUCUUCUCAGUAGUGAUGACCCUAAUCCUGGCCCUGCAGAGGCUGGUGCCAUUCAUCCUUGUUGGACAUGAAUGUGUCCAAAACUAAAGAGAUGACAUUAGAUUUUAGGACUAACGCUAUGAUCAUCUCUCCUGUGAUGGUUAAUAAUCAGGCUGUUGAGUUCGUGCAGCAGUACAAAUAUCUUGACACUGUAACGGACGACAAGCUGACCUUCGAGUUUCACACUGUCACUAGGUUUAAAGUUUUAAUGUUGAUAAUGAAUUAAAUGGUUUAUUCCUGUUUUACUGAACCAGUCUUCUUUUGUUAGCUGCUAUGGGUUAAUUACCAUCAAAAACAGUCAAAACAUAGUCAAAGUGUGCAGCAAAAUUGCAGGCAUGACCUUAAAUGACCUUCCACACCUGUACAAGGUGAGGUCUUUGAAGGCAGCCCAGUCUAUCCUGGCUGAUCCUAACCACCUCCUGUCUGAGGAGUUUAAGUUGCUUCCAUCUGGCCACAGAUACAUUCUGUCAAGACGCAGGACCAACAGACUGUAACGCUCAUUUGUUCCUGCUGCCAUUGGCCUUUUAAACCAUUUUAUGUGAUCUUUGUACUAUAAUUAUGGUUUAUUAUUUGUUUACCGUUGUCUGAUAGCUAUGUGGUUAUGUAGUUACUGCUGGCUGUACUACAAAUUGCCCCUUGGGGGUAAAAAAGAUAUCCUUGACCUUAGCAUG